GACGAACGCUGGCGGCGUGCUUAACACAUGCAAGUCGAACGGAAAGGCCCUGCUCUUGUGUGGUGCUCGAGUGGCGAACGGGUGAGUAACACGUGAGUAACCUGCCCUUGACUUUGGGAUAACUUCAGGAAACUGGGGCUAAUACCGGAUAGGAGCUUCUGCUCCAUGGUGGUGGUUGGAAAGUUUCGGCGGUUCUGGAUGGACUGGCUGGUUAUCAGCUUGUUGGUGGGGUAGUGGCGUACCCAGGGUUUGACGGGUAGCCGGCCUGAGAGGGUAAACAGGCACAAUGGUACUACGGUACGGCGCAGAAGCGUACGGGAGGCAGCAGUGGAGAAUCUUGCGCAGUGGGGGGAAGCGUGAUGCGGCAACGCCGCGUGCGGGAUGACGGCUUACGGGUUGUAAACAGCUUUGGCCUGUACCGAGGAGUGAGUGACGGUAAUGGGUAAAGAAGCACCGGCUAACUACGUG
rnacentral:rRNA from 1 species